AUCGCGUCGCCCCGMCACCAUACUUCCCUAUUGGGUAGUUAUGGUGUUUGGGAGCGGAGAUUGGCCUCCCGUGCCUGUGGUGCGGUUGGCCUAAAUAUGAGUCCCCUUCGGUGGAUACACGGCUAGUGGUGGUUGUAUUGACCCUCGUCUUGUGUCGUGUAUCGUGAGCUGUUAGGGAAACACUCAUCUCAAGACCCCAUCGUAUCGUCUUG
rnacentral:misc_RNA from 1 species